UCGCCGUUGCAAUGGGGCAACGCGCCCAU
rnacentral:sRNA from 1 species